rnacentral:rRNA from 1 species
GUUUGAUCCUGGCUCAGGAUGAACGCUAGCGACAGGCCUAACACAUGCAAGUCGAGGGGCAGCACGAGGGUAGCAAUACUUUUGGUGGCGACCGGCGCACGGGUGCGUAACACGUAUGCAAUCUACCUGUAAGUGGGGAAUAACCCGGAGAAAUCCGGACUAAUACCGCAUAACACUGUGAAUCUGCAUGGAUUUACAGUUAAACAUUUAUGGCUUACAGAUGAGCAUGCGCAUGAUUAGCUAGUUGGUGAGGUAACGGCUCACCAAGGCAACGAUCAUUAGGGGUUCUGAGAGGAAGGUCCCCCACACUGGUACUGAGACACGGACCAGACUCCUACGGGAGGCAGCAGUGAGGAAUAUUGGUCAAUGGGCGAGAGCCUGAACCAGCCAAGUCGCGUGAAGGAUGACGGCCCUACGGGUUGUAAACUUCUUUUGUAUGGGAAUAAAGUGCUUUACGUGUAGAGUUUUGUAUGUACCAUACGAAUAAGCAUCGGCUAACUCCGUGCCAGCAGCCGCGGUAAUACGGAGGAUGCGAGCGUUAUCCGGAUUUAUUGGGUUUAAAGGGUGCGUAGGCGGGAGAGAAAGUCAGGGGUGAAAGUUUGCAGCUCAACUGUAAAAUUGCCUUUGAAACUUCUUUUCUUGAGUAUACUGGAGGUAAGCGGAAUGUGUUGUGUAGCGGUGAAAUGCUUAGAUAUGACACAGAACCCCGAUUGCGAAGGCAGCUUACUAUAGUACAACUGACGCUGAGGCACGAAAGCGUGGGUAUCAAACAGGAUUAGAUACCCUGGUAGUCCACGCCGUAAACGAUGAAUACUAACUGUUUGCGAUAUACAGUAAGCGGUACAG